rnacentral:rRNA from 1 species
AACGAACGCUGGCGGCAGGCUUAACACAUGCAAGUCGAACGCAUCCUUCGGGGUGAGUGGCAGACGGGUGAGUAACGCGUGGGAACGUGCCCUUCAGUUCGGGAUAACCCAGGGAAACUUGGGCUAAUACCGGAUACGUGCGAGAGCAGAAAGAUUUAUCGCUGAAGGAUCGGCCCGCGUCUGAUUAGCUAGUUGGUGGGGUAAUGGCCCACCAAGGCGACGAUCAGUAGCUGGUCUGAGAGGAUGAUCAGCCACAUUGGGACUGAGACACGGCCCAACCUCCUACGAGAGGAAGCAGUGGGGAAUAUUGGACAAGGGGCGCAAGCCUGACCCAGCCAUGCCGCGUGAGUGAUGAAGGCCUUAGGGUUGUAAAGCUCUUUCGUCCGGGACGAUAAUGACGGUACCGGAAGAAGAAGCCCCGGCUAACUUCGUGCCAGCCGCCGCCGUAA